rnacentral:sRNA from 1 species
AUCGAGCAACACCCAACCGGCAACUGGAGGCCAUCAACAUGUUCAUCGACGAAGUGGUUCUCGCAGGGAUUCUUACGGUAGGCCUCAUGGUCGCUUUCUUCGGUGGGGUCGGUUACUUCAUCUGGAAGGAUUCCCACAGCCGCAAGGGCUGAUCCUUCCCGAUACACAGAGCACGCAAGGCACUUAGGGCGACUUCGGUCGCCCGUUUUUUUG